GCCUUCGUGAUGUAACGGUCAGCACGUUCCUCGCAUAACCACGAGGUCCGUGGUUCGAUUCCCGGCGAAGGCG
rnacentral:tRNA from 1 species